GGUUUCCGGUAGGUGACCUGCGGAAGGAUCAUUA
rnacentral:rRNA from 2 species